UCUGAUGGCUGAGAAUGAGGAGUCUGGGGGAGGGGCAGGCUGUGUGGGGCAGGUGGGGGGCCCCUAAGAAGCAGGAAGUGAGAAGGUUGAGUGUCUGUCCCUCGGCCUCCUGCCUCUCUAGCUCCCCACGGUGCCCAGAGACUGCCCACCUGUGAUGGUGACAGUGAAGAAGGCUGAGUCAUCUCCGGCAUCACACACGAACUCGCCCCCCUGCUCGGGCUGGGCCGCAGGCAGAACCAGGCGGCGGCGUGGCCCGUCGCUCUCCAGCACCAGGGCCUCGCUCUCCUCCACCUCCAGCCCAUCCUUGUACCAGCGCACAGGGGCGUCCUCCCGAGACAGCUCACACAUCAGCACCACACACUCCAAGCUCACGGCGAUCAAGGUCACCUCAUCUCGGGGGUAUAUGAUGCGCACUGGGGGCUCUGCAGAGUGGGGCAAUCACAGGCUGUCACAAACUCAAUCGCCAGCCGCCCUGGCAACACGGAGUUCCUGUCGCUCACAACAACAAGAGUGAUAAGGAUAAUAAUAACAAGGAAUAA
rnacentral:lncRNA from 1 species